CAUUCUGUCCUCCACUGCUCUGGAAGGUAGCUAGUACUUUUAGUAUGCUAUUAAAGGAUGUCUUCAACAAUGUAUGGACUUGGCUUGUUCUUCCUCUUGUUUCCAUGUCCUGUAACGUGUGUUGAGUUCCAUCAGUCUCCCUCCCUGAUAGUUAAAGAUGGGGGAGACGUGGAGAUUCACUGUAGCCAUGAUGACAAUAACCUGGAUGUGAUGUUGUGGUACCAACAGAAACAGGCCAGUUCUGCUUUGUCUCUGAUAGGGUACAAAUACGGCACCAGUGAACCUACUAACGAGCCUCAGUUCAAGGAGAGAUUCAAGCUGAACAAAGCAGGUGGUCUGAAUGGAUCUCUAGUUAUCUCCAGUCUGAUGGCAACAGACUCGGCUGUGUAUUUCUGUGCAGCCAGUUACACAGUGAUGUGGGUUCAUAUCAAUACCUGACGUAAAUCCUGAUGGGAGGAACACUUCUGUACACAACACGCACACAGGAAGUCAGAUAUAAAAUACUGUGGUUAAUCCACCACAUGUCAAGUGUAGAAACUGCUUGAUUGGUGCUGUGGGAGGGGCAAGAGUCAGAACUGUUGUGUGAAGAUCACAAUUAACAGAAACACAAAUCCAGAAUGCAAGCCCGCCUGCUCAGUUGGUUUGGUUGGCUCACAACAACAUGCUUUCUGUUCAUAAGUAUGAAAAUACCUGGUGAUUUUUUAAUUUUAUUUUGUAUCAUCACCUCCCCUCUCCUCUCCUCACCACUUCUCUCUCCACUCCUCACCUCUCCCUCUUUCUCCUGUCCUCUCUACGGGCCUGUGUGCUGUUCACUCUGGCUGACAGCACUUGUCCCAAAGCUUCCCUUCUACCAGAUACCUGAACCGGCUCCCCCAGAAAUCCAUCAUGAUUAAAAAAUCUCCCUCCUACUACAACAUGUUAUCUCUUGCCACUGGACAGAAAAACAGCGAACGACAGAUAGAAAAUCAGACAGAGAGAAUGUGAGGGAGAGAGAGAGAGUCAGAGAGACAGAAGAG